UUGGGAUUGUGAUGAUUAUAGAUUCAAAUGAUCUAAUUGAAGCAAGAUGUCGAGCUCGAACGACUCAUAGGGCGGCUCUUAUUUGGCAUUUCUAUAUACUAACUCCAAUGACAUGCCAAAGGAGAGUUGCCCUGUGAGUGAUUUAGCUUAGUAAUAAUAUUAUGGAAUUAUAGCAAACUCUUCUAGCUUUGCUUCUUGUUUUGUUCCUAAUCUGGUGUAUGAAGCAUGGAUACGAUAGAAGAAAAAGAAAACUCUCCAAUCCUAGAGGAUUGGAAGACGAAUCUCGCUAGUUGGGACAGGACUUAAAGUUGGUCGUUUUUUGAGCUUUCCUUUUUGCGAUUCCCAAUUCGUGUUUUAUCCAACAUUUUUGCAGCUGCUGUCUCUUCCAAUCUUUAGCAUUCUCAUCUUUGUCAUGCAUAUUUAUCUCGUAAUCAGUCUUUAUCAUCUAAUGGUUAUUUAGGAAGAGUUAAUUUAAACACUCUUGAUUGU